CCAGGAUUCAUUUGCAUUUUGCAUCUCUUUAGACAAAAAAUGGAAAAGAAAUUACAGAAACUUAGCAGAAACUUUGGAGAAAAAUUAAAGAAGCUAAAUGGCUGUGACAUUGGGUUCUUCUACUUUAUUCCAGCUAGUAAUCCACCUUCAAAGUUCCUGUCAGUAUUCCAAGCAAAGGUUUUAAAAUAUAUAUAUAUCCUGAAAUAUUGGGCACAGGAGUCUUACACACUCUUCUGGCUGUACUACUGGGACUUAAAUAUUUUCUUGUUCUGAAAAAAAAGAAGCUUGGAGAAAUUGGAACAUCCAGGAGCUCAACCACCAUUAAUGCAUACAGUUAUCUUCACUACUUCCAGAACUGACGACUGCACUUCCCAAAACCUUUAUCUUUAAUCUGCCCUUCGACUGCAGUGUUUGUUGGCCCCAAUAGAGAGAGGAACUUUAGACUCAUGAGCAGCUUCAGCAAGGUCAAUGAGGCAACAUACAUGCUUUAAGUUUUAGUGCAUGUUUAAGCAUUUCAGUGAAUUCAUGCCACGGUCUUUUUCUGAACAUUUAUGCAAGAGGUAGGAGAAAAUGUGUCAGUUAAAGCUCCCCAUUCAUUGUGGGGGAUGAAUAAAAUCUCUUUUGCUCAGUCAAGUUUCCCUCGGUGUUUCCACAUCUUUUCUGAUGUGCUCUCUGCACUGCAACAUUUUCUUUUUACUGGUAAUUCAUUUUGAAGCUUUCAAGACUUAGUUAUACCCAUACUA